AACAAACGCUGGCGGCGUGCCUAAUACAUGCAAGUCGAACGGGGAAAGCUUUCGGGUGAGUACUAGUGGCGCACGGGUGAGGAACGCGUGGAUAAUCUGCCUUAGAGUGGGGGAUAACUAGUCGAAAGAUUAGCUAAUACCGCAUAAGACCACAGGAGCUGCGGCUCAAGGGGUCAAAGGUUUUUCGCUCUAAGAUGAGUCCGCGUAAGAUUAGCUAGUUGGUGAGGUAACGGCUCACCAAGGCGACGAUCUUUAACUGGUCUGAGAGGAUGAUCAGUAACACUGGAACUGAGACACGGUCCAGAAUCCUACGGGAGGCAGCAGUAGGGAAUAUUGCACAAUGGAGGAAACUCUGAUGCAGCGACGCCGCGUGAGUGAUGAAGGCCUUCGGGUCGUAAAGCUCUGUCGCAGGGGAAUAACACAAUGAAGGUACCCUGUAAGAAAGGAUCGGCUAACUUCGUGCCAGCCGCCGCCGUAACAC
rnacentral:rRNA from 1 species